GUGGGGAAUCUUGCGCAAUGGGCGAAAGCCUGACGCAGCCAUGCCGCGUGGAUGAUGAAGGUCUUAGGAUUGUAAAAUCCUUUCACCGGUGAAGAUAAUGACUGUAGCCGGAGAAGAAGCCCCGGCUAACUUCGUGCCAGCAGCCGCGGUAAUACGAAGGGGGCUAGCGUUGCUCGGAUUUACUGGGCGUAAAGGGCGCGUAGGCGGACAUUUAAGUCAGGGGUGAAAUCCCGGGGCUCAACCUCGGAACUGCCUUUGAUACUGGGUGUCUUGAGUAUGAGAGAGGGGUGUGGAACGCCGAGUGUAGAGGUGAAAUUCGUAGAUAUUCGGAAGAACACCAGUGGCGAAGGCGACACACUGGCUCAUUACUGACGCUGAGGCGCGAAAGCGUGGGGAGCAAACAGGAUUAGAUACCCCAGUAGUCC
rnacentral:rRNA from 1 species